GACGAACGCUGGCGGCGUGCCUAAUACAUGCAAGUCGAACGCAGGGGGGACGGGUGAGUAACACGUGGGUAACCUCCCAUCAGAGGGGAUAACACUUGGAAACAGGUGCUAAACCGAUACUGAUGGAUGAACCAGCGGUGCAUUAGCUAGUUGGUGAGGUACCGGCUCACCAAGGCCACGAUGCAUAGCCGACCUGCUAGGGUGUUCUGCCACACUGGGACGUAGACACUGCCCUGACUCCUUCGGUAGGCAGCAUGAGGGAAUCUUCGGCAAUGGACGAAAGGCUGACCGUGCAACGCCGCGUGAGUGAAGAAGGUUUUCGGAUCGUAAAACUCUUUUGUUAGAGAAGCGGUAUCUAACCAGAAAGCCACGGCUAACUACGUGCCAGCAGCCGCGGUAAUUC
rnacentral:rRNA from 1 species